rnacentral:rRNA from 1 species
GGGUUCUACCGUUGGUCGGGCUAUAGUCUGUACUGGCGUGUGGAAUUUCUACCUUCUGGGGAACUAUCAUGUUAUUAAUUUAGCGUGGUAGGAAACCAGAACCUUUACCUUGAAAAAAUUGGAGUGUUUAAAGCAGGCUUUCAAGCUUGAACAUAUUAGCAUGGAAUAAUGAAAUAGGAC